UGUUGCCGCCCAACGCGUAACCCUUCAAGCAAAACCCUCGUCAAUGAAACCCGGAACCUCUGUCCAUGAGGAGAAUGUUUACAUGACCAAGCUUUUCCAGCACUACGAGGAGAUGGUUGAGUUCAUGGAGAAGGUUUCUACUUCCCUCGACAAGGAGGAGCUCACCGUUAAAGAGAGAAACCUCCUCUCCGUCGCCUACAAGAAUGUCAUCGGCGCUCGCAGGGCCUCCUGACAUAGCAUUUCCUCCAUCUAACAGAAGGAGGUGAGCCGAGGCAACGACGACCAUGUCUCUGUCAUCUGUGACUACAUAUCCAAAAUUGAGACCAAGCUUUCUAAUAUUUGUGAUGGAAUCCUCAAGCUUCUCGAUUUCAGACUCAUUCCCUUCGUUGCUUUUGGAGAUUCCAAGGUUUUUUACCUCAAAAUGAAGGACGACUACCGUAGAUACCUUGCCGAAUUCAAAACCAGAGCUGAAUGCAACGAGGCUGCCAAAAGCACUCUCAUUGUUUACAAAGUCGCUCAAAUCUACUUCUCUGAUUUCUGAUUCUUAUGUUUUACUGUUGUUUUGUCUAUUUUUUUUUGUUAUUUUAUCAUUUUGGUUAUCCUUUUUUUAGUUUCUUUGUGUUUGUAUUGGUUUUCUUUAUUUUGGAUCACGAUUAUGUAAAUUAUUGUUCUAUUUUCUAUGUUUGGCCUCAGAUUAGUUUAUCGAUAGCAUAUGAGGUUCAGAUGCUUUCGAACACCUACCAGCAUGGUUCAGAGCCAUUUUGGUAAGUUUAAGUAAGGAUUGUUGCUUUUAUUUUUCAGUCAAAUUGGAUUUAUGUGUCCAAAUUUCUGAACUAUUGAAACUCAAUUUUAUUAUGUUUUAGUCAGUUUCCAAAUGUUCGACUAUGUUUCGUUCAGUAUUAGUGCACUUUAUUUAACUAUAUCAAACUCUAUUUUCUUAUAAGCAUUGUCACAUGCACACCCGAUGUUUGCUAUUCUGCCAAAGAGACUGAAAAGUUAAAUAACUUACUAUAGGAUCAUUUCCGAAAUCCUAUACGAGCAAUUAGAGCCAUCCUUUCAUUAGCUAGUUUCAUCACUUACAUAUGCACUGACAUUUAUGAUAUGUUCAAAGACAUACAACUUUUUCUUAGUCGUGUUCUUCAAGUUGCUUAUGUUUCAGACGUAACGAUUGCCACUUCUAUAGUAUAUUGCUUACUAGUCUAGAUCUAAUUUCUAUGUUUUUAGAAUUAUGGAAGACCAAAUAUAGAUGAUUAAGUUUUAUGUAGAAGAUGGAUGAGUUUAAGAUAAUCUAAUUAUGUUUGAUUAUGAUUAUGCUAUAUCAAUGUCCGCUUUUGAUUCUUGGUUCUAAGAUCUUGCAUACCUAUUUUAAGAAAGGAGAAAAAGUUGAACUAGUUUAUGUUGGAGGAUCGUCUAGUUACCAUUGAAUAGCAAUGAGUAUUUCCUUUUGUAAUGUAUUGUCAUUAAGUUAUGGAAGUUGUUGGAAGUGUUAUGUGUGAGUAAUUGUUUCUUUUAUCCAACAUGUGAAGGUAUUGUCUAUUGAUGAGAAAAAAGCAGCUGCUAAGGAAUAUUCUUAACAUUGUUAAUUGCUUUUCCUUAAUUCAUAGUUUCUUUCAGUAGUUUUUCUCCUCAAGCAUUUUUUCUAGAUAUAUCUCCCCCGUUCUACUAAUCUUGAGAUCCAUAGAGGAUUCUACAUUUUCCUUUCUUUUGAAGGUCAGUAGAUCAAAACUUUCUCAUGUCAUUUUCUUGUUCAUUCUAGUGAUUUUGGCCUUCAUUUUUAUUCUCCACGAUUUUUCUUUAGGUUGUGUUUUAGUGAAUUUGGAUAUGUAUAAUUAAUAUAAAAUAUUUUAAGCCUAACUUUGGUAAUGUAAGCAAGGUUUAAAGUUCAUUAUCAUUACAAGGUUCAAAGCUCAUUACUAGAUUUGAAUGAUUGGAUAAAAACAAGGUAUGAGUUCCAAUCUCAUGUUCGUAUAUUAACAUAUAUCAUUCCCACUACGUUUUACAUCUAUUCUGGUGUUACGUUUUUAAAUUUGUAAUAUUUGAUAAAGGAAUGGAUUAUAGAACAGAACGGAAGCGCAUAAAAGAAAUUGAAAGAACAGAUUGGUACUCUUUUGGGAUCUUAACUUUUUGGGUGUUUUUGCACACGUGGCAAGUUUGAGAGAUGGUCAUGUUUAUGCUUGGAGUAUAAGGAGUGGAAAAUAGUUUCAGAUUGUUUGUGGAGCAUUUGAAUAAGUUUUGAAGUUGUUCAUUGCUAACUUUGGACGUGUGGGUAUGUAGAGCUUGCACUUGGCGGUAGCAAGGUUCAUGCUGGUUGCAAUGGGAAGCCUGUAUGGAGGCGCACACCAUGGCUCAGUGCACAUUUUACUAAUUGAUUUCCACUUUGUGUUGCUCAUUGAUUGUCACUUUUUUGUUUGGUAAAUUUUUUAAUUGUUCGUAUUAGGCUAUCUGUUAAAAUUAUAUUUCUUA